CUUUGGGUCGAAGAGCGCAGCAACGACAACGCGAAACGUUUCGGGUAUCAUUUUUAUAAACAUGGACGGUACAUACCACUUCUAAAUAUCGAGUAGAGAGAAAAAUUAAUGAAGAUGAUUUUAAUCAACAUAUUUUUCCUAUCAACGAUUCUUGCAGCUUCGUCUGCACUGGACUGCGUCGAGUGUUUUGGUAAUGGCACAAAAUGUAAUGAACAAGGUAAGAGCAGAAAAUGUGGACCUG